CCCGGUUGUAGCCUGAAAUUGUUAAACCCCCAACAAACAACCUUUCCAUCAGUCCUAAAACGCAACUUCGAUUCAAUCCGAAAGCCGGUUCUUUGAACUGUCCCUUAGGCUGAUCACCCGUAGUGUUUCUGCUUCCCCAACACUAUACCAUCAUCUGAAUUGAUGGCACAAACAUGGCUAAAUCCAGGAGCAAGCAUACUAUAAUUCCCACUAAUUUCUUGACCAGUGAUGCCAGUACAGUUCCCAAGGAAUCUGAUCUUAUUUUGAUCUUCUGUUAACCCAUAUGAAAAUCCUUCACCAACAGCUAUAUCGGAAAAUUUUUGCCCUCCAUCUGUUUGAUUAAACCCAGGCCAUUGCCAACAUUCAAGACCGUUGGUCUCAUUAGGGCCACAAAUAUGAGUGUUGCCUGCUUCAAGCUGGUUAAGAACUGAACCUCAUUAAGUUUAAAAAGGAGCCAUUGCUGGAAGAUCUCCAGCAAAGCAUGACAGAUACAUUGGAUGCUGAAAAAAGUGGUCUCAAACCACAUACGAAUCCAUCCCCAGAGACAAUCCUAGAAAACGAGUCGCUGGAAUCAAAAGGGUUUUCAAAACCAGAAACGUGGAACCU